GGAUUAAAGAGAAGUGAAUGAAGAAUUGAAUAGAGAAGUGAAUGGGAUUGAUAUAUAUAUAUAGAGGACUUUUUUUUUUUAAAGGUAAAACAACCGUUGAACGGUUGCCUCCCUCAACAGUAAAAUUCCAACGGUCCGAUUUUUUUUUUUAAUCGGACAAAAUUAGGUGAUUGGGUGUAACACCCCAAUUUUCAUAAACUCUACUAUUUAAAAAAAAAUUAGAGAACAAAAGAUAGUAAAAUAAUAAUUUCUUGAUUUAUAAAGAAAAUUUAAACUAAUUUCAAAGUCAACUUGCCAAAACUAAAGUAGUAUCAUAAAAAUAAAAUAAAACUUAAUAAUUUCAACUAGAAUGUUCAAUGUAAAAUCCUUAUCCCUAGUCAUUCUCCACUUCCAUGGCCACUUCGACU
rnacentral:lncRNA from 1 species